CGGAGGCAGCGCUUGACGGCGGCGACGCGGCGGAGGUGGCGCAGCGACCCAAAAAGCUCUGCGGAAUGCGGCAAGAAGCCAUCGAGACUGGAUGAUGCGGAUACAUUGAGUGGUGUGAUCAACCCCCAACGUUGUCUAUUCGUGAUUUGCUUGAUGAUCUAUGGGAUGCUGUGUGGAGGCUGCAGGGGGAAAUGGUACUGCUAUUAUGCUCUGAGAGAGGAGCUACAAUUGAAGAAUGCCCAAAUGGAUGUAAUUAGGGAAAGAAACUGAGAGUGCACAGCAGAUGUGAGAUUGUUAUCCUGGUUUAGUGGCAGGAUUCAUGUCAAGGUAGCUCUAGCAAUGCAAUGUUAGAUUGUUAUCCAGGUUUAGUUCUGGCAAUGUAAUGUGUAGAAUCUGCAACUGAAUAAAGUCAGCAUUUUAUAUGAA